GACGGAGGAUGCAAGUGUUAUCCGGAAUCACUGGGCGUAAAGCGUCUGUAGGUGGUUCAAUAAGUCAACUGUUAAAUCUUGAGGCUCAACUUCAAAAUCGCAGUCGAAACUAUUAACUAGAGUAUAGUAGGGGGUAAAGGGAAUUCCAGUGGAGCGGUGAAAUGCGUAGAGAUUAGGAAAGACACCAAUGGCGAAAGCACUUUACUGGGCUAUUACUGACACUGAGAGACGAAAGCUAGGUAGCAAUGGG
rnacentral:rRNA from 1 species